UGUCACUCCAGGAUCAGCUACCUGCAGGAGA
rnacentral:piRNA from 1 species